UACGGAGGGAGCUAGCGUUGUUCGGAAAUACUGGGCGUAAAGCGCACGUAGGCGGCUUUUUAAGUCAGGGGUGAAAUCCUGGAGCUCAACUCCAGAACUGCCUUUGAUACUGAGAAGCUUGAGUCCGGGAGAGGUGAGUGGAACUGCGAGUGUAGAGGUGAAAUUCGUAGAUAUUCGCAAGAACACCAGUGGCGAAGGCGGCUCACUGGCCCGGUACUGACGCUGAGGUGCGAAAGCGUGGGGAGCAAACAGG
rnacentral:rRNA from 1 species